rnacentral:rRNA from 1 species
CCUACGGGGGGCAGCAGUGAGGAAUAUUGGUCAAUGGGCGGGAGCCUGAACCAGCCAAGUCGCGUGAAGGAAGAAGGUACUUAGUAUUGUAAACUUCUUUUGUCGGGGAACAAAGGCGGAGACGCGUCUCCGGAUGAGUGUACCCGAAGAAAAAGCAUCGGCUAACUCCGUGCCAGCAGCCGCGGUAAUACGGAGGAUGCGAGCGUUAUCCGGAUUUAUUGGGUUUAAAGGGUGCGUAGGCGGACAGUCAAGUCAGCGGUAAAAAUGCGGUGCUCAACGCCGCACAGCCGUUGAAACUGGCAGUC